GCCAUGGCACAAAACACAACCAUCCCAAUCAAUGUGGGGGUGGUUCUUGACUUAGAUUCCCGGUUAGGGAAAAUAGGGUUGAGCUGCAUCAACAUGGCCCUCUCUGACUUCUAUGCCUCUCAUUCUAACUACAAUACUAGACUGGUCCUGCACACAAGGGACUCCACGAGAGAUGUUGUUGUUGCAGCUGAUGCAGCGCUAGACUUAAUAAAGAAUGUUGAAGUGCAAGCCAUCAUAGGGCUAAAAUCAUCAAAGCAAGCCAACUUUGUAAUUGAUCUUGGAGAGAAAGCUCAGGUGCCCAUAAUCUCAUUUUCAGCAACAAGCCCUUCUCUUCGGGGUUCAUAUUUUUUCCGAAUUGCACAGAAUGACUCAUCUCAGGUUAGAGCCAUAAGUACCAUCAUCCAAGCCUUUGGUUGGAGUGAGGCAGUGCCCAUCAGCGUGGACGAUGAGUUCGGGGAGGGAGUGAUACCUUACCUGACUACUGCUUUGCAAGAAGUAGGUGCCCGUACCCCUUAUUGGAGUGUCAUUCCUUCAAAGGCUACUGAUGACCAAAUUGUUGCAGAGCUGUACAGGUUGAUGUCAAUGCAAACCAGGGUCUUCAUAGUGCACAUGUUGCCUUCUCUAGGCUCUCGGUUUUUUGCCAAGGCAAAAGACAUUGGCAUGAUGGAGGAAGGUAAUGUUUGGAUAACGACGAAUGGGAUGGCUAACUCUUUUAGUACCUCCAGCUCUUCUGUCGACAUAGAUAACAUGCAAGGGGUGUUAGGUUUAAAGACUUAUGUUCCAAACACAAAAGAGCUUGAAAAUUUUAGAGCUAGAUGGCAAACCAAAUUCCAACAAGACAAUCCAACUAUCCUUAACGUUAAAUUGGAUGUUUUUGGACUUUGGGCUUAUGAUGCUGCUUGGGCAUUAGCCCUGGCAGUUGAGAAGGUUGGGGGUACAAACUUCAGCUUCCAAAAGAUGAACAGUUCUCAUAAUUCCACUGAUCUGGGAAGCUUAGAGGUCUCUCAAGGCGGUCCUGAACUUGUCCGAGAGCUAUCAAGUACAAGAUUCAGAGGCAUUUCAGGAGAUUUCAGUCUUAUUAAUGGGCAACUACAAUCAUCAACUUUUCAGGUAGUUAAUGUGAACGAUAAUGGGGAAAGAGGAAUUGGAUAUUGGACACCCCAAAAUGGACUUGUGAGGAACAUAAUUUCAACUAGCUAGAAACACAAGCAGAUACUCUACUUCUAAUGCCAGUCUUGGACCUAUUAUAUGGCCUGGAGACACCACCUUGGCUCCAAGGGGCUGGCAGAUUAACCCGAAAGGGACCAUAAAAGUUCUGGUCCCGGUGAAGGCAGGGUUUGAAGAAUUUGUAACUGUGAGACAUGAUUUUAGCACUAACACAACCAAGGUCGCUGGAUACUGCAUAGAAGUCUUUGACGCUGUAAUAAAAGCAUUACCAUAUCAUGUUCCUUAUGAGUUUUAUCCCUUUGCAAAACCUAAUGGGAAGAUUGCUGGCCGGUACAAUGAUUUGGUCAAUCAAGUGUUUCUUGGGAACUACGAUGCAGCAGUUGGAGACAUAACUAUUAGAGCAAACAGAUCCUUGUAUGUUGACUUCACAUUGCCAUUCACAGAAUCUGGAAUAUCAAUGGUGGUGCCUAUCAAAGGCAAACAUGACGCUAAAAGCACAUGGGUGUUCUUGAAGCCUUUGACAUGGGAUCUUUGGGUUACAAGCUGCGGUUUUUUCAUAUUCAUUGGUUUUGUGGUCUGGUUUCUUGAACAUCCGAUAAACGAAGACUUUCGUGGGUCUCCACAUCACCAAAUUGGCACAAGCUUUUGGUUCGCCUUCUCAACCAUGGUUUUUGCACACCGGGAACGAGUAGUGAGCAACUUGGGUAGGUUUGUAGUGAUCAUAUGGUGCUUUGUUGUCCUCGUACUGACUCAAAGCUACACUGCCAGUUUAUCAUCAAUCUUAACAAUUCAACAGCUCCAACCAAUAGUUACUGAUGUGAAUCUUCUCUUGAAGAAUGGGGACAAUGUUGGCUACCAAGCAGGUUCUUUUAUUUAUGAGAUUUUGAGCCAGCUAGGAUUUCAGGAUGAUAAACUUAGAACUUAUAGGUCCGCAGAAGAAUUGGAUGAACUUCUUCGAAACGGGAAUGAAAAUGGAGGUAUUUCUGUAGCGUUUGAUGAAACCCCCUACAUGAAACUUUUUCUUGCAACCUAUUGCUCAAAAUAUACCCUUGUUGAGCCAACAUUCAAAGCCGAUGGUUUUGCCUUUGUCUUCCAAAAAGGUUCACUUCUGACACUAGAUGUUUCAACGGCAAUCACUCAAGUGCACGAGGGAGAUAAAAUGAAGGCCAUCGAGGCCAAGUGGUUCAAGAAAAAAGCAAGCUGUUCAAACCCCAACACCGCUGGCUCUUAUGACACUCUUAGCCUUGAUAGCUUCUGGGGCCUCUUCAUUGUUGCUGGUGUUGCUUCAUCACUAUCUCUCCUCAUAUAUGUAGCUAUGUUCCUCUAUGAGCAUGGCCACAUCUUGACAUGCGUUGAUUCAAAAGCCUCAUUUCGGACAAGAAUCCGUGAAGUACUAAGAGCAUAUGAUCAAGAAGGCAAGAAAAGCAAAAAAGAUGUUCAAGGAAUCGCUGCGGUUGAAUCUUCACCGAACACCAACUGUCUCUGCCUCAGAAGGCCAUCAAGAUCAAGGCACCCAAAUAAGAUUGUACCAGAAAUCGUUCUUGAAGAGGAAGGAACAACUUGUACUCAGCAUAGUGAGUUGAAUCCGAAUGUUCAAGCAACCCAAGAAAUUGAAUGUGCUAUCUAGUUAACGGCUAUGACAUAAACCAUGGAAUCUUGCUGUGGUUUGUUUGAAGCUUAAUUUGUAGUUUAAAUCUUUAUUGUGUAGUAUAUAAGAUG